GGAGAACAAGUAAAGCGAAAGAUAAGAAAAAUUAUCCCCGCAGUAAUGUGAUUUAAUAAAUGAUUGACAUCUAAUUUCAUGUAUUUUUACAUUGGUUCCAAUGGUUAGAUGUAAGAUAUUUUUUUUAUUUUUUAAUAUUUAAUUAUCGUAAAAUAUUUACAAUUUUUUAUUUUUAUUUUUAAACCUAACAAAAAAUAAUUUACUUACUAAUUUUCGUCCUUGUACUCACUUAAAAUUUGAGGGGUUGGUCUCUAUUCGUUGCCUUUAAAAUCCCACAUCCUCUCCUCUCUCCCUCUAAAAAUGACAUAAAUAUUGCCCUUGUAUUCAAUUACAAUCUCUACAACUGUCUAGAGAUCUGUUCACAUAAACUGAAUCUUGCGACCCAAACUUAAACAGGGAAUUUAGCUGGGCAUGAUAGCCGGAACUGCUCUGCAUACGUUGUUCCUUCUGUUCAUAAUUCACAAAACCAUCUGGAACAAGGAGUUAGAGGAAGCUGUAACUGAAUCUUCUCAGAAAAAUAGUUCUCUUUUUUGCAUCUAAAAGUGGAACAUCUUUGUAUUCAGGCUCACUAGUAAAGGGUGGGAAGGGGCCAAAGGGCAAGAAUCCCAAACAGUUGAGGCAAAAGGAAAGCAAUUAUAGAGAGCGACAGAAGCAUUUCUUAUCAGUUACUCUCUGCUGUACAUUUCAUUAUGUAUUAAUUGAUGUCAUGAUAGUUGUGAACAGAGACUUGAGAUAUGAAUAUAAUCGAUAUUGAGAUGUUUGGUUUGUCGUUUGA